rnacentral:rRNA from 1 species
AUUGAACGCUGGCGGCAGGCCUAACACAUGCAAGUCGAACGAGUGGCGGACGGGUGAGAAAUGUCUGGGAAACUGCCUGAUGGCGGGGGAUAACUACUGGACACGGUAGCUAAUACCGCAUACCAUCAGAUGUGCCCAGAUGGGAUUAGCGAGUUGGUGGGGUAACGGCUCACCACGGCGCCGAUCCCUAGCUGGUCUGAGAGGAUGACCAGCAACACUGGAACUGAGAAACGGUCCAGACUCCUACGGGAGGCAGCAGUGGGGAAUAUUGCACAAUGGGCGAAAGCCUGAUGCAGCCAUGCCGCGUGUGUGAAGAAGGCCUUCGGGUUGUAAAGUACUUUCAGCGGGGAGGCGUUACCCGCAGAAGAAGCACCGGCUAACUCCGUGCCAGCCGCCGCGGUAAUAC